rnacentral:misc_RNA from 1 species
UACGGAGGAUCCAAGCGUUAUCCGGAUUUAUUGGGUUUAAAGGGUGCGUAGGCGGCUUAUUAAGUCAGUGGUGAAAGCCUUCAGCUUAACUGAAGAACUGCCAUUGAUACUGAUGAGCUUGAGUACAGUUGAGGUGGGCGGAAUGCGUCAUGUAGCGGUGAAAUGCUUAGAUAUGACACAGAACACCGAUUGCGAAGGCAGCUCGCUAAACUGUAACUGACGCUGAGGCGCGAAAGCGUGGGGAGCAAACAGG